CCAGGGAUCGAAUUUUAAAGGAUCUCCGAAAAUAUCACCAUCGGUGUGCAGAGGUUGCGAUAGGAAUGACAGAAUGCUGCCUUUAGGUAGAGAGAUUCCAUCCUCUGUCUGAACGCCAUCUGCCAUGACCUUGCGAAAGAGUCCGCGGUUUGCAAAGGAAUGGAGCCGCAUCGUCUCGCGGGCAAUGCUAUCAGCCUUGACCAGUUUCGCAAUCUUAGCCUUUGUCCACUUUGUGUCAUCGUCGAGGUAUUCUCCGGAAUCACCACUCCCACACCCCAAGUGAGCAGUAGUUUCCCUACGGAGUAUUGAAAUGGUGUCAUACUCCGCAUCCGAGGAAACGAUAUUUAGGAUCAUGUUUGUGAUAGCCAUGCUGGUCUGAUGAAUCGCUUCAAAGUUGGCCAUGCAGAGGCGGUUGGUCAGAUCCCAGAUAUUGAGUUCGUCAGGCCGCUCCUUUCGCGCGAAUCGAAACAACAUUUGAAAAAAAUCAGUACACUUGUCAUCGGCGGUGUCAUGUGCCAUACACUCUUCGAAACGAGGCUCUAUUAACUUUCGAACCCGAGAUAUCAGUCGACGGAGUCUCCAGCUUGCAACAGGAUUAAUCAGAGGCUGUAGGAUGGCCGGGAAUGCUCCAGUUACAGCAGCACUAAUGAUCAUCUCGUCCAUGAUGUUCAAGAUAAGGUGGAGGUACUCUUCAUUGCGGCCUACGGGUACCAUUAGUCUAUGUUUCGCUCUCAACGAAUAAAUCAAUAAAUGCUCGAAUGGUGUGGCCACACAAAGACUUUCAAACUUACAGAGCGGUUUUCCAACAUGGAAGCGACUCGUUGCCUGCACUAUCAUCAUUUGCACUGUUUGCUGC
rnacentral:sRNA from 2 species